AUUGAACGCUGGCGGCAUGCUUUACACAUGCAAGUCGAACGGUAACAGGCCUUCGGGUGCUGACGAGUGGCGCACGGGUGAGUAAUGCAUCGGAACGUACCCAGAGGUGGGGGAUAACGCAGCGAAAGCUGUGCUAAUACCGCAUGUGAUCUGAGGAUGAAAGCGGGGGACCGAGCAGCAAUGUUUGGCCUCGCGCCUUUGGAGCGGCCGAUGUCGGAUUAGCUAGUUGGUGGGGUAAAGGCCUACCAAGGCGACGAUCCGUAGCUGGUCUGAGAGGACGACCAGCCACACUGGGACUGAGACACGGCACAGACUCCUACGGGAGGCAGCGGUGGGGAAUUUUGGACAAUGGGCGCAAGCCUGAUCCAGCAAUGCCGCGUGCGGGAAGAAGGCCUUCGGGUUGUAAACCGCUUUUGGCAGGAACGAAACGGUGUCCGCUAAUACCGGGCGCUAAUGACGGUACCUGCAGAAUAAGCACCGGCUAACUACGUG
rnacentral:rRNA from 1 species